UCCUCUGCAGAGGCAGUGUCCCCAUUGGAGGCAUCCCAGAUGAGCCUUGGGAAUAAAACGCACUCCUCCACGACACCCAACUGCAGCCACCCCUGUGUGCAGCCCCAGGGAGAGCUGCAGACCAUCCACACUCUCCCCUGUCCCUGAGGAAGCUUGGGCUGUCCCAGGGCCUGUCUCCAGCCCAGCAAUGUCCUCCUCCCUCCCCUGCAGGACCUGCUGGCUCUGCUGCACGAGCAGGGCCCAUCCACGGAGGGGAUCUUCCGGCUGGCGGCCAGCGAGCGCGCCUCCCGGGACAUCAGGGAGGCCCUGGACACCGGCGCUCAGGUCCACCUGGCCAGCCAGCCGGUGCACGUCCUGGCUGUCAUCUUGAAGGACUUCCUCCGCAAGAUCCCCUCCAAGCUCCUCCACUCGGAGCUUUACCAGCAGUGGAUGGAUGCCCUGCAAAAGACCAGCAGGCAGGAGAGGCUGGCGGGGCUCAAAGAGGUGGCCGGCAAGUUACCUGAGGCCAACCUCCUCCUCCUCCGAACCUUGCUCAGCCUGCUCCACAAGAUCAGCACCAAUGUCCCUGUCACCAAGAUGACUGCCAGGAACCUGGCCAUCUGCGUGGGGCCCA